AUUCCAGCUCCAAUAGCGUAUAUUAAAGUUGUUGCAGUUAAAAAGCUCGUAGUUGGAUUUCUGUGAGAGUGCCGGUGUCGGCUGAUGCUUGUACGCAGGCGCUCUUACAUCCUUCUGUUAACUGUUCUUGGCAUUUUAUUGCUGGUUCAGGGCUCAGAUAUUUUACCUUGAGAAAAUUAGAGUGUUUCAGGCAGGCUUAUGCCGGAAUACAUUAGCAUGGAAUAAUGGAACAGGACCUGUGCGUCUCUCGGGGCGCCGGUCUCCGUUGUUGGUUUCGGGGACUAAUGUAAUGAUUAAUAGGGAUAGUUGGGGGCAUUAGUAUUUAAUAGUCAGAGGUGAAAUUCUCGGAUUUGUUAAAGACUAACUUAUGCGAAAGCAUUUGCCAAGGAUGUUUUCAUCA
rnacentral:rRNA from 1 species